rnacentral:pre_miRNA from 1 species
CCCUUAACUAUUAAAAAUUUCGUUUUGGUCCUUUAACUUACUUUUUGGUUUCGUUUUGGUCCCUUAACUUAUUUUUUGGUUUCAUUUUGGUCCCUUAACUCUAAUACAUUCAUCCUAAUAUAAAAGACCAAAGUGGUUGACAGAGGAUGAGUUAAGGGACCAAAACAAAACCAAAAAGUAAGUUAAAGGACCAAAAUGAAACUUUUAAUAGUUAAGGGACCAAAACGAAAGCAAAAAAUAAGUUAAGGGACCAAAAUAAAACUUUUAAUAGUUAAGGUA